GAUGAACGCUGGCGGCGUGCCUAAUACAUGCAAGUCGAGCGAACGGACGAGAAGCUUGCUUCUCUGAUGUUAGCGGCGGACGGGUGAGUAACACGUGGAUAACCUACCUAUAAGACUGGGAUAACUUCGGGAAACCGGAGCUAAUACCGGAUAAUAUUUUGAACCGCAUGGUUCAAAAGUGAAAGACGGUCUUGCUGUCACUUAUAGAUGGAUCCGCGCUGCAUUAGCUAGUUGGUAAGGUAACGGCUUACCAAGGCAACGAUGCAUAGCCGACCUGAGAGGGUGAUCGGCCACACUGGAACUGAGACACGGUCCAGACUCCUACGGGAGGCAGCAGUAGGGAAUCUUCCGCAAUGGGCGAAAGCCUGACGGAGCAACGCCGCGUGAGUGAUGAAGGUCUUCGGAUCGUAAAACUCUGUUAUUAGGGAAGAACAUAUGUGUAAGUAACUGUGCACAUCUUGACGGUACCUAAUCAGAAAGCCACGGCUAACUACGUGCCAGCAGCCGCGGUAAUACGUAGGUGGCAAGCGUUAUCCGGAAUUAUUGGGCGUAAAGCGCGCGUAGGCGGUUUUUUAAGUCUGAUGUGAAAGCCCACGGCUCAACCGUGGAGGGUCAUUGGAAACUGGAAAACUUGAGUGCAGAAGAGGAAAGUGGAAUUCCAUGUGUAGCGGUGAAAUGCGUAGAGAUAUGGAGGAACACCAGUGGCGAAGGCGACUUUCUGGUCUGUAACUGACGCUGAUGUGCGAAAGCGUGGGGAUCAAACAGGAUUAGAUACCCUGGUAGUCCACGCCGUAAACGAUGAGUGCUAAGUGUUAGGGGGUUUCCGCCCCUUAGUGCUGCAGCUAACGCAUUAAGCACUCCGCCUGGGGAGUACGACCGCAAGGUUGAAACUCAAAGGAAUUGACGGGGACCCGCACAAGCGGUGGAGCAUGUGGUUUAAUUCGAAGCAACGCGAAGAACCUUACCAAAUCUUGACAUCCUUUGACAACUCUAGAGAUAGAGCCUUCCCCUUCGGGGGGCAAAGUGACAGGUGGUGCAUGGUUGUCGUCAGCUCGUGUCGUGAGAUGUUGGGUUAAGUCCCGCAACGAGCGCAACCCUUAAGCUUAGUUGCCAUCAUUAAGUUGGGCACUCUAAGUUGACUGCCGGUGACAAACCGGAGGAAGGUGGGGAUGACGUCAAAUCAUCAUGCCCCUUAUGAUUUGGGCUACACACGUGCUACAAUGGACAAUACAAAGGGCAGCGAGACCGCGAGGUCAAGCAAAUCCCAUAAAGUUGUUCUCAGUUCGGAUUGUAGUCUGCAACUCGACUACAUGAAGCUGGAAUCGCUAGUAAUCGUAGAUCAGCAUGCUACGGUGAAUACGUUCCCGGGUCU
rnacentral:rRNA from 1 species